rnacentral:rRNA from 1 species
GCCUACGGCCAUACCAGCCCGGGUACGCCCGAUCUCGUCUGAUCUCGGAAGCUAAGCAGGGUCGGGCCUGGUUGGCACCUGGAUGGGGAGACCCCUGGGAACAUACCAGGUGCUGUAAGCA